CCUACGGGGCGCAGCAGUGGGGAAUAUUGCACAAUGGGGGAAACCCUGAUGCAGCGACGCCGCGUGAGUGAAGAAGUAUUUCGGUAUGUAAAGCUCUAUCAGCAGGGAAGAAAAUGACGGUACCUGAUUAAGAAGCCCCGGCUAACUACGUGCCAGCAGCCGCGGUAAUACGUAGGGGGCAAGCGUUAUCCGGAUUUACUGGGUGUAAGGGGAGCGUAGACGGCAGCACAAGUCUGGAGUGAAAUGCCGGGGCUUAACCCCGGAACUGCUUUGGAAACUGUGCAGCUAGAGUGCAGGAGAGGUAAGUGGAAUUCCUAGUGUAGCGGUGAAAUGCGUAGAUAUUAGGAGGAACACCAGUGGCGAAGGCGGCUUACUGGACUGUAACUGACGUUGAGGCUCGAAAGCGUGGGGAGCAAACAGGAUUAGAUACCCCAGUAGUC
rnacentral:rRNA from 1 species